rnacentral:Y_RNA from 1 species
GGCUGGUCCGAAGGUAGUGAGUUAUCUCAAUUGAUUGUUCAGUCAGUCAUAGAUCGAACUCCUUGUUCUACUCAUUCCCCUCUUCUCACUACUGCACUUGACCAGUCUUUU